AGAACGAACGCUGGCGGCAGGCUUAACACAUGCAAGUCGAACGCUCGUAGCAAUACGGGAGUGGCGGACGGGUGCGUAACGCGUGGGAACAUGCCCUUUGGUUCGGAAUAACCCAGGGAAACUUGGGCUAAUGCCGGAUACGUCCGAUGGCUUUGCGGUCAUUGGAGAAAGAUUUAUCGCCGAAGGAUUGGCCCGCGUCCGAUUAGCUAGUUGGUGAGGUAACGGCUCACCAAGGCGACGAUCGGUAGCUGGUCUGAGAGGAUGAUCAGCCACACUGGGACUGAGACACGGCCCAGACUCCUACGGGAGGCAGCAGUGGGGAAUAUUGGACAAUGGGCGCAAGCCUGAUCCAGCCAUGCCGCGUGAGUGAUGAAGGCCCUAGGGUUGUAAAGCUCUUCGUCAGGGACGAUAAUGACGGUACCUGAAGAAGAAGCCCCGGCUAACUUCGCGCCAGCAGCCGC
rnacentral:rRNA from 1 species